rnacentral:rRNA from 1 species
CGUGUAGGCGGUUGGGUAAGUCAGAUGUGAAAGCCUUCUGCUUAACAGAAGAAGUGCAUUUGAAACUACCCGGCUAGAGUACGGGAGAGGAGAGUGGAAUUCCCGGUGUAGAGGUGAAAUUCGUAGAUAUCGGGAGGAACACCAGUGGCGAAGGCGGCUCUCUGGUCCGAUACUGACGCUGAGACGCGAAAGCGUGGGGAGCAAACAGGAUUAGAUACCCUGGUAGUCCACGCCCUAAACGAUGGGCACUAGGUGUAGGAGGUAUUGACCCCUUCUGUGCCGAAGCUAACGCAUUAAGUGCCCCGCCUGGGGAGUACGGCCGCAAGGCUAAA